ensembl:lncRNA
AAAACUGUAUUUAAGGGUCAUGUUCAGAAUUAAAGGUGUGCAAAAAUUACUUUGUCAUCUGUUGUCUGAGAGCUUCUGUCAUAAGAGCUGUACCACCGCUGCUUGGGGAAGAGAUCUGCUCUCCCACAGUCACUGCCAGAAGCCCUCCUGCACCCUCACCGGAUAGUCAUCUCCUGUUGGCUAAGUCUGGCCUGAAGAAGAGGUAGAACAACACCUGUUCGAGCUCUCCUUUCUCCUGGACCCGAGAACCCAACUGACCAGAGAUCUCCACGGAAAACUUCCAGCACAGAGGCCCACAGACAACCACCAGACUUUGGAAAUCAGAAACGCUUAUCUGUAUUCCCACAUCAUGUGAUAUAUAAAACAUUGAGAUUUAAUGGGAAUUUUUAUACUGCUUCAUCAAGAACACUUUUUGAGUGAAAUUGUUUUUUCUUACAUCUUUUUUUUCCCUCUACACUUGAGUGGUGGUACAGAAUACAUUCACCAUUGGUCCUUUCUGAUUUACAACCUUGUUAUGUCCUGAGGGACAACCAGCUUAAUCCACCAUUGCAUUUGCAAUGCAUUUUCAAAGUGCAAGUCACAAAGAUCAAGCUGAAACAGCUAAGGAAGUAGGACAGGAAUUGAGUUCUGGGGCCUGGGAACAUGAACUCGGUUUCUUGAUCCUGCCAGACAAGUGGAAUUUCUUCCUGCGAUGGCUGAACUCAGGAAACAGUCUCCUAACAGCAAGCUACCCCACUCAGGAAGCAGAGGCAGAUCUCCGAGUCUGAGGAUAGCCUGGUCUACAGAGUGAGUUCCAGGACAGCCAGGGCUACACAGAGAAAGCCACUCUCAAAACAACCAAACCCAAACUCAACCAAUCCAAACAACGGAAUCUCUUUUCUCUACAGCAGCCUGACGAGCCGUCCACAGUAUCCCGAGAUUCUUGGUCUGGAUAGAACCAGGGAUAAUGACUGAGUCAUGCUGAUGGGUCAACUGUCAUCAGAACAUCACCAGGUCCUGUGGGUGUGCUUCUGUGGCUGCCUCCCUGACUCUACCUCCUCUCAGAGCAUUACAUUUCGGUGAAAACCUUUGUGACAAGUAUAUUUAGGAAGCAUUGCCUCCAGACGUCUGGCUCCCUUUGUAUUUAUUUGUGCG